GUCGCGAGAGCUCAGCUGGUAGAGCAUCUACCCGGUAAGCAGAGGGUCGCCGGCCCGAUUCCGACUCGCGGCG
rnacentral:tRNA from 1 species